GAGCUUGCUCUUUAACUUAGUGGCGCACGGGUGAGUAACACGUGGAUAAUCUACCCAAAAGUACGGAAUAGCUAUUGGAAACGAUGGAUAAUACCGUAUAAUAUUCGCUUAACCGUAGAGUUAAAGGCGGGGCAACCUGUCGCUUUUGGAUGAGUCCGCGGCUCAUUAGCUAGUUGGUAAGGUAAUGGCUUACCAAGGCUAUGAUGAGUAACCGGCCUGAGAGGGUAAUCGGUCACACUGGGACUGGAACACGGCCCAGACUCCUACGGGAGGCAGCAGUGGGGAAUAUUGCGCAAUGGGCGAAAGCCUGACGCAGCGACGCCGCGUGAGGGAUGAAGGCCUUCGGGUCGUAAACCUCUGUCAGGAGGGAAGAACCGCCAUGGGAGUAACUGCCUGUGGUCUGACGGUACCUCCAAAGGAAGCACCGGCUAACUCCGUGCCAGCAGCCGCGGUAAUACGGAGGGUGCAAGCGUUAAUCGGAAUCACUGGGCGUAAAGCGCGCGUAGGCGGCUUAGUAAGUCAGAGGUGAAAUCCCACGGCUCAACCGUGGAACUGCCUUUGAUACUGCUUUGCUUGAGUUUGUGAGAGGAUAGUGGAAUUCCAGGUGUAGGAGUGAAAUCCGUAGAGAUCUGGAGGAACAUCAGUGGCGAAGGCGACUAUCUGGCACAACACUGACGCUGAGGUGCGAAAGCGUGGGUAUCAAACAGGAUUAGAUACCCUGGUAGUCCACGCUGU
rnacentral:rRNA from 1 species